UCUGCUGACUGGGCAACACUGUGACUUUUCUGUGCUAAGUUAUGAAUUAGAUGUUCUGUGCCAUAUGUUUCAGUAUUACAGUAUUGGCUUUCUAGCUGUCAGUGCCCAGGUUUGCUUGUUUUCUGUUUCAUUCACCAUUCCACAAAGAAGCUGAGGGUCUCUUCUAGGAGCAGCAUGCAGCCAAUCUGAUGUAGCAACAAAAUCUGAGGGUCUCAGAACUCAUUGCUGGGGCUUGUUCCAUAGGUGUUCGACCAAAGCGCGCUUUCAACAGAAGCAAAAGAAGAAAUGUAUAAGCUUUACCCUAAUGCCAGAAGAGCUCACCUCAAAACAGGAGGCAACUUCCCCUACCUCUGCAGGAGUGCUGAGGUCAACCUGUACAUUCAAAUCCAUUUGCUGCAGUUCCACGGGACCCGGUACGCAGCCAUCGAUCCCUCCAUGGUCAGUGCAGAAGAGCUGGAAGUCCAAAAGAUCAGCCUUCACACCAGCAACGAGCAAGAAGAGCAGUAGGCUUGGGAGUGCCAGUGAAACCAGAGGCAUUGGUUUGGUGGUCUUCCUGUGUACAAUCAACUGUUCCCACUCUGCCUUUUCCCUUGUGUUAGCCGAUUAUCACUGUGUGAUUCCAACUGGAUCAAGUCAGUGAACUACCCGUGGACAGCAACCUCCAGCAGUGUAAUGGAAUAGAUCUGUUUAAUUUUUAGUCUUUGGAUUCAAGGAAGCAUCUUUGAAGACUACACUUUUAAAAAUAAAGACAUUUUUUCUACCAAAGUCUUCACUAUAUCAUGUUCUUAAGCAGAACGGUAUUUCUUUUUAUAUUUUUCACUUGGCUGUACAUAUUACCACAUGCAGAUUGUGUACUUAUAAGCUGACAUAUAUUUUUGUUGAAUAUUUGAUUUAAAAGAUGUUUGUGUCAAUGUUGCCAUCACUUAUUUGCUUCAUACAUUGUGUUGUAAGUUAGUUUGUUUCUAUUUGAAAUAAAGCAUUUGAAUUUUUAACUUUCUUGCUGCUUAAAAAUGGUUUUCAAUAAAACUUCACUUUCA